AGCGGCGCGCGGAAGGACAAAUAGUCCCCGCGGCGGCGCCGCGCGCCCCUCCACAGCUCUGCUCGCCCCGCCCGGGACUGCCGGGGCCCCGGAGGCCCGGGCGGCGGGGGAGGGGCGGUCUCCGCGGCUGCUCGACCCCCCGCUCCCCUCCUGGCGGCCCGAUGAGUGGAUGGCGCUCCCUCGGGAAAAGUAAUUGGAUUCCCGGCUCCCUGCAGCCCGGAUCAGCGGAAAUCGGAGGCUGAGCCUGCAGGCCGCGGCAGAGACCUGCGCGGUGAGGAAGGAUCCACGGAGAUUACCCCUGGUGCCCCUUGCCUCCCGGCAGGUGACUCUUGCCCCUCCAAGUUGUCAUCAUUCUGAAAUUCACCUGGUUGCUGAUCUCCGGGAAGAGAAAUAAUCUGGAGCGUUUGAGUCUUUGAGCCACCACCAGCCUCGUUUUUCUCUCAGAGCUCUCCUUGGAGCUAAUGGAGAAAGAGCCCUGUCUGGGAUUGGAGACCACUCUUGUUAACCGGGUAACUCCGGAGAAAAUUACCUCCUCGCCAGAAUCAUCCAGGAAAGUAUCUCAGGCCCUUGCUUCAGCAGUAGCGAACUUCCCUAAAUUCUCUUUCCUCUGGGGAGAUGGAGCAGAAGUGGGAGACUUCAGUUUUUUGGCUGAAAGGAGAGGAACGUGCUAGGAAUUUAAGUGACUAACUCGUCCCUCUUGCGAUUGUUUUUUCAUCUUACUGUACUUCUUCACUCAUUCAUCUUCAAACAAGCUUUUAUUGGGGGCUUUCUAUGUGCCAUUCUCUGUUGUAUUCACCAAGGACACAUCCGUGAAUAAAAACAAGUCCUUGCACUCAUGGAAUCUCGUUAUAGUUCAGACAAUAAAUGGACAAAUAGAUAAACAGUA